GACGAACGCUGGCGGCGUGCUUAACACAUGCAAGUCGAACGAUGAAGGGGAGCUUGCUCCCUGGAUUAGUGGCGAACGGGUGAGUAACACGUGAGCAACCUGCCCCUAACUCUGGGAUAACGCUUCGAAAGGAGUGCUAAUACCGGAUAUGAGCCUGGAAGACAUCUUCUGGGUUGGAAAGUUUUUCGGUUAGGGAUGGGCUCGCGGCCUAUCAGCUUGUUGGUGAGGUAAAGGCUCACCAAGGCGACGACGGGUAUCCGGCCUGAGAGGGCGACCGGACACACUGGGACUGAGACACGGCCCAGACUCCUACGGGAGGCAGCAGUGGGGAAUAUUGCGCAAUGGGCGAAAGCCUGACGCAGCGACGCCGCGUGAGGGAUGAAGGUCUUCGGAUUGUAAACCUCUUUCAGCAGGGACGAAGCGAAAGUGACGGUACCUGAAGAAGAAGCACCGGCUAACUACG
rnacentral:rRNA from 1 species